rnacentral:tRNA from 1 species
GCGGGGGGAACCGGGGCUCAAGGGCAAGAUUCCCAAGCUCAGAGCGCGAGUUCGAUUCUCGUCACCCGCUCCA